rnacentral:tRNA from 1 species
GGAGAGGUGACUGAGUGGCCGAUAGUGCUUGAUUGCUAAUCAAGUGUAUGGUUUCCAUACCGGGGGUUCGAAUCCCCCCCUCUCCG